GGGUAGGUAGCUCAGCAGGUAGAGCAGCGGACUGAAAAUCCGUGCGUCGAUGGUUCAAUCCCGUCCCUACCCA
rnacentral:tRNA from 1 species